UGGCAGUCAGAGGCGAUGAAGGACGUGCUAAUCUGCGAUAAGCGUCGGUAAGGUGAUAUGAACCGUUAUAACCGGCGAUUUCCGAAUGGGGAAACCCAGUGUGAUUCGUCACACUAUCAUUAACUGAAUCCAUAGGUUAAUGAGGCGAACCGGGGGAACUGAAACAUCUAAGUACCCCGAGGAAAAGAAAUCAACCGAGAUUCCCCCAGUAGCGGCGAGCGAACGGGGAGCAGCCCAGAGCCUGAAUCAGUGUGUGUGUUAGUGGAAGCGUCUGGAAAGGCGUGCGAUACAGGGUGACAGCCCCGUACACAAAAAUGCACAUACUGUGAGCUCGAUGAGUAGGGCGGGACACGUGGUAUCCUGUCUGAAUAUGGGGGGACCAUCCUCCAAGGCUAAAUACUCCUGACUGACCGAUAGUGAACCAGUACCGUGAGGGAAAGGCGAAAAGAACCCCGGCGAGGGGAGUGAAAAAGAACCUGAAACCGUGUACGUACAAGCAGUGGGAGCACGCUUAGGCGUGUGACUGCGUACCUUUUGUAUAAUGGGUCAGCGACUUAUAUUCUGUAGCAAGGUUAACCGAAUAGGGGAGCCGAAGGGAAACCGAGUCUUAACUGGGCGUUAAGUUGCAGGGUAUAGACCCGAAACCCGGUGAUCUAGCCAUGGGCAGGUUGAAGGUUGGGUAACACUAACUGGAGGACCGAACCGACUAAUGUUGAAAAAUUAGCGGAUGACUUGUGGCUGGGGGUGAAAGGCCAAUCAAACCGGGAGAUAGCUGGUUCUCCCCGAAAGCUAUUUAGGUAGCGCCUCGUGAAUUCAUCUCCGGGGGUAGAGCACUGUUUCG
rnacentral:rRNA from 1 species